rnacentral:rRNA from 1 species
AGAGUUUGAUCAUGGCUCAGAACGAACGCUGGCGGCAGGCUUCAUACAUGCAAGUCGCGCGAUUAAAGCUCCUUCGGGAGUGUAUAAAGCGGCGAACGGGUGAGUAACAGGUGGAUAAUCUGCCUUACGGUGGGGGACAACGGCUGGAAACGGCCGCUAAUACCGCAUACGAUUACUAGUUCUUCGGGACCGGUAAGGAAAGGGGCUUUCAAGCUCCGCCGUAAGAUGAGUCCGCCCCCCAUUAACUUGUUGGCGGGAUAAUAGCCCACCAAGGCGACGAUGGGUAGCCGAGCUGAGAGGUUGAUCGGCCACACUGGGACUGAGACACGGCCCAGACACCUACGGGUGGCAGCAGUAGGGAAUAUUGCGCAAUGGGCGAAAGCCUGACGCAGCCAUGCCGCGUGGAUGAUGAAGGCCUUCGGGUCGUAAAGUCCUUUUCUGAGGGAAGAACAUCCACGGGAGGAAAUGCCCGUGGCCUGACGGUACCUCAGGAAUAAGCAACGGCUAACUCCGUGCCAGCAGCCGCGGUAAUACGGAGGUUGCGAGCGUUGUUCGGAUUUACUGGGCGUAAAGGGAGCGCAGGCGGUUUGGUCAGUUCAAAGUGAAAGUCCGAGGCUCAACCUCGGAAGGGCUUUGGAUACUGCCAGACUUGAGUACGUGAGAGGAGAGCGGAAUUCCAGGUGUAGCGGUGAAAUGCGUAGAUAUCUGGAGGAACACCGGUGGCGAAAGCGGCUCUCUGGCGCGAUACUGACGCUGAGGCUCGAAAGCGUGGGGAGCGAACGGGAUUAGAUACCCCGGUAGUCCACGCCGUAAACGUUGUGCACUAGGUGUAGGAGGUAUCGACCCCUUCUGUGCCGCAGCUAACGCAUUAAGUGCACCGCCUGGGGAGUACGGUCGCAAGACUGAAACUCAAAUGAAUUGACGG